CCUACGGGAGGCAGCAGUAGGGAAUCUUCCACACUGUGCGAAAGCCUGAUGGAGCAACGCCGCGUUGGUGAAGAAGGUCUUCGGAUCGUAAAACCCUGUUGUUAGAGAAGAAAGUGCGUGAGAGUAACUGUUCACGUUUCGACGGUAUCUAACCAGAAAGCCACGGCUAACUACGUGCCAGCAGCCUCGGUAAUACGUAGGUGGCAAGCGUUAUCCGGAUUUAUUUGGCGUAAAGGGAACGCCGGCGGUCUUUUAAGUCUGAUGUGAAAGCCUUCGGCUUAACCGGAGUAGUGCAUUGGAAACUGGGAGACUUGAGUGCAGAAGAGGAGAGUGGAACUCCAUGUGUAGCGGUGAAAUGCGUAGAUAUAUGGAAGAACACCAGUGGCGAAAGCGGCUCUCUGGUCUGUAACUGACGCUGAGGUUCGAAAGCGUGGGUAGCAAACAGGAUUAGAUACCCUUGUAGUC
rnacentral:rRNA from 1 species